CAUUUAUUUACAUUUGGGCUCACAGCUUGGUUCUCUCCCUAUACAACUUAAUUCUCUCUUCGUACAGGAGGAGGAUUGGUGUGUAUAGGUCACCAUGGUGACCGGACUCCACACGACGUCAAUACGCACGGGGGCGGAGCAUGUGAGCAGGUGCGCGCGCACACCCAGAAGUUCCUAUGGUUCCGACAGGAGGUGGGUGUAACGCACCUGGGUGAG